GGGCAUCCACUGAUAGGCCUGUUGCCUUGGUUUGUGGCCUCUGGUUUGCACAAGGAUGCAACAGUAAUAUUCCUCAAUAUAUCUGUCCAUCUGAAUGGUGGCUGGAAAAGUCUAAUCUGAGGAGAAUAGGA
ensembl:snoRNA